AUCUACAGCCAUGCCACCCUGAACACGCCCAAUCUCGUCUGAUCUCGGAAGCUAAGCUGGGUUGGGCCUGGUUAGUAGUUGGAUGGGAGACCACCUAGUAAGACCAGGUGCUGUAGGCG
rnacentral:rRNA from 1 species